rnacentral:lncRNA from 1 species
AUGGAUUUUCCCGAAAAAGGAUGGAAAUGCCCCAUUUCCCUGCGGUCCCGGAGCUGCGGGAGCGGCAGAGAGGAAGAGGAGCCCUCGGGGAUGAAGGUCGUGGGGUUUUUUAGGGAAUGGGGAUUUUGGGAGCGGCGCCAGGACCCGUCCGUGAGAUCCGUGAGUUCUGAGCACGGGAAAAGCUGGAAUUGGUUAAAAUCGGUGAAAAUCGGGAAAGAAUUCCCCCCAUCCCGUCCCACCUCGGGAAUCCAGCGGAGGGUCCGGGCCGGGGGCAGCGCGGCGGCGACAAUUCCAUGCCAGGGGCGAGCGGGACCUGCCGGGGUCCUUUUCCCAGGAAAACCCUCGGGACAAUCCCAGGAGAAGCCGGAGGAUGAGGAAGGAAGGAAGAAGUCUCGGCUUCGGCCACACCCCGGUGUCCCCGGUGCCAAAAAAAUCCACGGAAAAAACCCAAAUCCAGGAAAAGCAGCAGCGGCUCCGUCGGGCGGCUCCUCCCGGGCCGGGAUUCCCGGGAAGUGGCGCUGGGUCGGGGAAGGGCUCGGAGUCUGCUCGGGCUCCCGGGACACUCCUUGGAGCGGGGGCUGGGAAAUCCAGAGACUGGGAAAUCCGGGGGUUCGGAAAUCCGGGGAUUCUCCUGUUCGCAGGAAAAAACGCCCGGAAAGCGCCGGGCAGGGAUCCAGGGGCUGUUCCGGGGAUCCAGGGGCUGUUCCGGGGCUAUUCCGGGGAUCCAGGGGCUGUUCCGGGGCUAUUCCAGGAUCUAUUCCGGGGAUCCAGGGGCUGUUCCGGGGCUAUUCCGGGGAUCCAGGAGCCGUUCCGGAGCUAUUCCAGGGAUCCAGGGGCUGUUCCGGGGCUAUUCCGGGGAUCCAGGAGCCGUUCCGGAGCUAUUCCAGGGAUCCAGGGGCUGCUCCGGAGCUAUUCCGGGGAUCCAGGGGCUAUUCCGGGGAUCCAGGGGCUGUUCCGGGGCUAUUCCGGGGAUCCAGGAGCCGUUCCGGGGAUCCAGGAGCUGUUCCAGGGAUCCAGGGGCCGUUCCGGGGCUAUUCCGGGGAUCCAGGAGCCGUUCCGGAGCUAUUCCAGGGAUCCAGGGGUUGUUCCAGGAUCUAUUCCGGGGAUCCAGGGGCUAUUCCAGGGAUCCAGGGGCCGUUCCGGGGCUAUUCCAGGGAUCCAGGAGCUGUUCCGGGGCUAUUCCAGGAUCUAUUCCGGAGAUCCAGGACCUAUUCCAGGGAUCCAGGGGCUGCUCCGGAGCUAUUCCGGGGAUCCAGGAGCUGUUCCGGGGCUAUUCCAGGAUCUAUUCCGGGGAUCCAGGGGCUGUUCCAGGGAUCCAGGGGCUGCUCCGGGGCCGUCCCGCAGCUCUAA